rnacentral:misc_RNA from 1 species
AAUGUACGAUAUUUCAUGUGAAUUGUAAGAUUCCGUGAAUCAUUGAGAUUUUGAAUGCAUAUUGUACCUUUAUGAUUAAUACUCUUAAAGGUCUAUUUAUUUGAGCGUCUAAAUCAAAUUAACAAUCGUAAUAUAUAUACCACGACAUUGUUUAAUCAAUAUUACUUAAAAAUCCUUCUUUUUUAAGUUUAUUGAUUAGAUUAAAAUUACUUGAAUCUUAAAGAGAGCAAUAGUUUUUAAGAUUUCCAUGGGAUUGUGAUAAUUAAUCUUUGGUUGAUUAAAAUAAUCUCUAUCUUAAAUCUUUCUUUCUUUAAUGUAUUUACUUCUUUACUCUUUAAAAAAAAAAUUAAUGGACCUCAAAUUAAAUAGGAUUACUCGCUGAAUUUAA